GAAGGGGGCUAGCGUUGCUCGGAAUUACUGGGCGUAAAGGGAGCGUAGGCGGACUGUUUAGUCAGAGGUGAAAGCCCAGGGCUCAACCUUGGAAUUGCCUUUGAUACUGGCAGUCUUGAGUACGGAAGAGGUAUGUGGAACUCCGAGUGUAGAGGUGAAAUUCGUAGAUAUUCGGAAGAACACCAGUGGCGAAGGCGACAUACUGGUCCGUUACUGACGCUGAGGCUCGAAAGCGUGGGGAGCAAACAGGAUUAGAUACCCUGGUAGUCCACGUCGUAAACGAUGAGUGCUAGUUGUCGGCAUGCAUGCAUGUCGGUGACGCAGCUAACGCAUUAAGCACUCCGCCUGGGGAGUACGGUCGCAAGAUUA
rnacentral:rRNA from 1 species